rnacentral:other from 1 species
ACGGUUAUAAAUCAACAUAUUGAUCUAUAAGCAUGGAAAUCCCCUGAGUGAAACAACGAAUUGCUGUGUGUAGUCUUUGCCCAUCUCCCACGAUGGGCUUUUUUUUAA